AGAGUUUGAUCCUGGCUCAGGAUGAACGCUAGCGGCAGGCCUAACACAUGCAAGUCGAGGGAGAAGCCCUUCGGGGCUGAAACCGGCGCACGGGUGCGUAACGCGUAUGCAACCUACCUUUCACAGGGGGAUAGCCCGAAGAAAUUUGGAUUAAUACCCCAUAAUAUUAUUGGAUGGCAUCAUUUGAUAAUUAAAAUUACGAUGGUGGAAGAUGGGCAUGCGUCCUAUUAGCUAGUUGGAGUGGUAACGGCACCCCAAGGCUACGAUAGGUAGGGGUCCUGAGAGGGAGAUCCCCCACACUGGUACUGAGACAGGGACCAGACUCCUACGGGAGGCAGCAGUGAGGAAUAUUGGUCAAUGGUCGGAAGACUGAACCAGCCAUGCCGCGUGCAGGAAGAAUGCCUUAUGGGUUGUAAACUGCUUUUAUAUGGGAAGAAUAAGGCGUACGUGUACGCUGAUGACGGUACCAUAUGAAUAAGCAUCGGCUAACUCCGUGCCAGCAGCCGCGGUAAUACGGAGGAUGCGAGCGUUAUUCGGAAUCAUUGGGUUUAAAGGGUCUGUAGGCGGGCUAUUAAGUCAGGGGUGAAAGGUUUCAGCUUAACUGGGAAAUUGCCUUUGAUACUGGUAGUCUUGAAUAUCUGUGAAGUUCUUGGAAUGUGUAGUGUAGCGGUGAAAUGCUUAGAUAUUACACAGAACACCGAUUGCGGAGGCAGGGGACUAACAGAUGAUUGACGCUGAGAGACGAAAGCGUGGGGAGCGAACAGGAUUAGAUACCCUGGUAGUCCACGCU
rnacentral:rRNA from 1 species